AGUGAACGCUGGCGGUAGGCCUAACACAUGCAAGUCGAACGGCAGCACAGUAAGAGCUUGCUCUUACGGGUGGCGAGUGGCGGACGGGUGAGGAAUACAUCGGAAUCUACUUUUUCGUGGGGGAUAACGUAGGGAAACUUACGCUAAUACCGCAUACGACCUACGGGGAAAGCAGGGGAUUUUCGGACCUUGCGCGAUUGAAUUAGCCGAUGUCGGAUUAGCUAGUUGGCGGGGUAAAGGCCCACCAAGGCGACGAUCCGUAGCUGGUCUGAGAGGAUGAUCAGCCACACUGGAACUGAGACACGGUCCAGACUCCUACGGGAGGCAGCAGUGGGGAAUAUUGGACAAUGGGCGCAAGCCUGAUCCAGCCAUACCGCGUGGGUGAAGAAGGCCUUCGGGUCGUAAAGCCCUUUUGUUGGGAAAGAAAAGCAGCAGGUUAAUACCCCGCUGUUCUGACGGUACCCAAAGAAUAAGCACCGGCUAACUUCGUG
rnacentral:rRNA from 1 species